rnacentral:rRNA from 1 species
GAUGAACGCUGGCGGUAUGCUUAACACAUGCAAGUCGAACGGACUCUUCGGAGUUAGUGGCGGACGGGUGAGUAACGCGUGAGAAUCUGACUUUGGGUUCGGGACAACCACUGGAAACGGUGGCUAAUACCGGAUGUGCCGAGAGGUAAAAGAGAAAUUGCCUGAAGAUGAGCUCGCGUCUGAUUAGCUAGUUGGUGAGGUAAAGGCUCACCAAGGCAGCGAUCAGUAGCUGGUCUGAGAGGAUGACCAGCCACACUGGGACUGAGACACGGCCCAGACUCCUACGGGAGGCAGCAGUGGGGAAUUUUCCGCAAUGGGCGAAAGCCUGACGGAGCAAUACCGCGUGAGGGAAGAAGGCUCUUGGGUUGUAAACCUCUUUUCUUAGGGAAGAACAAAAUGACGGUACCUAAGGAAUCAGCAUCGGCUAACUCCGUG